rnacentral:tRNA from 1 species
GCCCCCUUCGUCUAGUGGCCUAGGAUACUGGAUUCUCAGUCCAGCGACACGGGUUCAAAUCCCGUAGGGGGUA